GGUAAUACGUAGGUGGCAAGCGUUAUCCGGAAUUAUUGGGCGUAAAGCGCGCGCAGGUGGUUUCUUAAGUCUGAUGUGAAAGCCCACGGCUCAACCGKGGAGGGUCAUUGGAAACUGGGAGACUUGAGUGCAGAAGAGGAAAGUGGAAUUCCAUGUGUAGCGGUGAAAUGCGUAGAGAUAUGGAGGAACACCAGUGGCGAAGGCGACUUUCUGGUCUGUAACUGACACUGAGGCGCGAAAGCGUGGGGAGCAAACAGGAUUA
rnacentral:rRNA from 1 species